UACGUAGGGUGCGAGCGUUAAUCGGAAUUACUGGGCGUAAAGCGUGCGCAGGCGGUUCGUUAUGUCCGAUGUGAAAGCCCCGAGCUCAACUUGGGAAUGGCAUUGGAAACUGGCGGGCUGGAGUGUGGCAGAGGGGGGUGGAAUUCCACGUGUAGCAGUGAAAUGCGUAGAGAUGUGGAGGAACACCGAUGGCGAAGGCAGCCCCCUGGGCCAACACUGACGCUCAGGCACGAAAGCGUGGGGAGUAAACAGG
rnacentral:rRNA from 1 species